GCAAGUCUGGUGCCAGCAGCCGCGGUAAUUCCAGCUCCAAUAGCGUAUAUUAAAGUUGUUGUGGUUAAAAGGCUCGUAGUUGAACCUUGGGCCUGGCUGGCCGGUCCGCCUCACCGCGUGUACUGGUCCGGCCGGGCCUUUCCCUCUGUGGAACCCAUGCCCUUCACUGGGUGUGGCGGGGAAACAGGACUUUUACUGUGAAAAAAUUAGAGUGCUCCAGGCAGGCCUAUGCUCGAAUACAUUAGCAUGGAAUAAUAGAAUAGGACGUGUGGUUCUAUUUUGUUGGUUUCUAGGACCGCCGUAAUGAUUAAUAGGGACAGUCGGGGGCAUCAGUAUUCAAUUGUCAGAGGUGAAAUUCUUGGAUUUAUUGAAGACUAACUACUGCGAAAGCAUUUGCCA
rnacentral:rRNA from 1 species